rnacentral:lncRNA from 1 species
GAAGGUUAUGUAGGUGAUUCUCAAAUGCAACUUCCCUACCAAGAUACAUUUUAAGAAGGAGGGUUCAGAUAUAAAGUAUUUUUUAUUCCUUAGUAGGAUGAACGAGGAGGGUUCGGGCACUUGAGCCUUGGAGAUGCCGCUACAGCCUAGACACCCCUUCUAUUUUUAUAUUUUUUAUUGACUGGAUUUGGGUUGCCCUGGUUGGUACUUGUAGCAAAUAAUUACUCUUUUCAUUUUUUCUCUCAUUUUUAGAACAUUUGUUGCCACUGCUCUCCCAUAAUAAUUGUUUUAGCUUAUAUUGCAUGUCAGAGAUGAUUUGUAACUUAAUUAGUGCGAAUACAAGGUUGCUUUUUGUAAUGAUUGAAAAAUCAAAAAAUAGGGAUAGAAAUUUCCUAGCAGCUUACUGCCUAGAAUUAAUUCG